rnacentral:rRNA from 1 species
AUAGUUUGAUUAUGGCUCAGAUUGAACGCUGGCGGCAGGCUUAACACAUGCAAGUCGAGCGGUAACAGGGGGUGCUUGCACCCCGCUGACGAGCGGCGGACGGGUGAGUAAUGCUUAGGAAUCUGCCCAGUAGUGGGGGAUAGCCCGGGGAAACCCGGAUUAAUACCGCAUACGCCCUACGGGGGAAAGCAGGGGAUCUUCGGACCUUGCGCUAUUGGAUGAGCCUAAGUCGGAUUAGCUAGUUGGUGGGGUAAGAGCCUACCAAGGCGACGAUCCGUAGCUGGUCUGAGAGGAUGAUCAGCCACAUCGGGACUGAGACACGGCCCGAACUCCUACGGGAGGCAGCAGUGGGGAAUAUUGGACAAUGGGGGCAACCCUGAUCCAGCCAUGCCGCGUGUGUGAAGAAGGCUUUCGGGUUGUAAAGCACUUUCAGUGAGGAGGAAAAGUUAGUCGUUAAUAUCGGCUAGCCUUGACGUUACUCACAGAAGAAGCACCGGCUAACUCCGUGCCAGCAGCCGCGGUAAUACGGAGGGUGCAAGCGUUAAUCGGAAUUACUGGGCGUAAAGCGCGCGUAGGUGGUUUGAUAAGCGAGAUGUGAAAGCCCCGGGCUUAACCUGGGAACGGCAUUUCGAACUGUCAGGCUAGAGUGUGGUAGAGGGUAGUGGAAUUUCCUGUGUAGCGGUGAAAUGCGUANAUAUAGGAAGGAACACCAGUGGCGAAGGCGGCUACCUGGACCAA